rnacentral:rRNA from 1 species
UAGGGAAUCUUCCGCAAUGGGCGAAAGCCUGACGGAGCAACGCCGCGUGAGUGAUGAAGGUCCUCGGAUCGUAAAACUCUGUUAUUAGGGAAGAACAAAUGUGUAAGUAACUAUGCACAUCUUGACGGUACCUAAUCAGAAAGCCACGGCUAACUACGUGCCAGCAGCCGCGGUAAUACGUAGGUGGCAAGCGUUAUCCGGAAUUAUUGGGCGUAAAGCGCGCGUAGGCGGUUUUUUAAGUCUGAUGUGAAAGCCCACGGCUCAACCGUGGAGGGUCAUUGGAAACUGGAAAACUUGAGUGCAGAAGAGGAAAGUGGAAUUCCAUGUGUAGCGGUGAAAUGCGCAGAGAUAUGGAGGAACACCAGUGGCGAAGGCGACUUUCUGGUCUGUAACUGACGCAGAUGUGCGAAAGCGUGGGGAUCAAACAGG